rnacentral:rRNA from 1 species
AUUGAACGCUGGCGGAAUGCUUUACACAUGCAAGUCGAACGGCAGCACGGACUUCGGUCUGGUGGCGAGUGGCGAACGGGUGAGUAAUAUAUCGGAACGUGCCCAGUCGUGGGGGAUAACGUAGCGAAAGCUACGCUAAUACCGCAUACGAUCUACGGAUGAAAGCGGGGGAUCGCAAGACCUCGCGCGAUUGGAGCGGCCGAUAUCAGAUUAGGUAGUUGGUGAGGUAAAGGCUCACCAAGCCGACGAUCUGUAGCUGGUCUGAGAGGACGACCAGCCACACUGGGACUGAGACACGGCCCAGACUCCUACGGGAGGCAGCAGUGGGGAAUUUUGGACAAUGGACGCAAGUCUGAUCCAGCCAUUCCGCGUGCAGGACGAAGGCCUUCGGGUUGUAAACUGCUUUUGUAUAGAACGAAAAGGUCUCUAUUAAUACUAGGGGCUCAUGACGGUACUGUAAGAAUAAGCACCGGCUAACUACGUGCCAGCAGCCGCCGUAA